rnacentral:rRNA from 1 species
UACGUAGGGUGCGAGCGUUAAUCGGAAUUACUGGGCGUAAAGCGUGCGCAGGCGGUUUUGUAAGCCAGAUGUGAAAUCCCCGGGCUCAACCUGGGAAUGGCAUUUGGGACUGCAAGGCUUGAGUGCGGCAGAGGAGACUGGAAUUCCUGGUGUAGCAGUGAAAUGCGUAGAUAUCUGGAGGAACACCGGUGGCGAAGGCGGCAUCCUGGACCAACACUGACGCUGAGGAGCGAAAGCCAGGGGAGCAAACGGG